GAAUGAGCUGCAGACCUGUUCAAAGUGUGCACCACGGGAGUUCGCUUGUUCUUCCAAACCAUUGCCUUCUGUGUCUACUAGAGGAAGAGAUUGUGCUUCUCAUCCUACGACCCUACUGACGAUGUUCCAGACCCAUCCUUCAUGUGUAUAUAAGUUGAUUCCAGGAAACGAGCGCCAGAGGAGAAAAGGAAUCGUUCAAUCCCACAAUCUCGCGCAUCGCAGUGGGAGUCACCCCACAGACUGCUAUGUGCGUUGAGAUCUCCAAGGAGAAGAUAUGGUUCUGGAAGUUCAUCAGGCUGGCCACGCUCUGGAGUAUGUGUUGUGGCUGCAGUUGCAGUUUGCACCGUGAACAUCAUCGUGUUCGCAUUCAUCAGUACCAUGACCAGCUGUGCCGCAUUUACCAUAAGUCCCCUGACCUCGGCAAGUGCGCUGCCACUACGCGUUGAGCUACCGUCGUAGAAAAGGCUUGAGGUCAAGUGCUCAAAGGCUUGAGGUCAAGUGACAGCUACGCAUGUAUUGGCGACAGAGUUGUUUUGAGCGCAUGCAGCGACCUGAUCUGCCAACACAUUUCCUCUGAUAUCACAAAGCCCUGGUACCCAGCACACUACAACAUGUGAUUUGAGAGCGUACAUUAUGCAUUAAAGAGUGUAAAGGGACGCAAGGA